rnacentral:rRNA from 1 species
AACGAACGCUGGCGGCAGGCUUAACACAUGCAAGUCGAACGCAUCCUUCGGGGUGAGUGGCAGACGGGUGAGUAACGCGUGGGAACGUGCCCUUCAGUUCGGAAUAACCCAGGGAAACUUGGGCUAAUACCGGAUACGUGCGAGAGCAGAAAGCUUUAUCGCUGAAGGAUCGGGCCGCGUCUGAUUGGGUAGUUGGUGGGGUAAUGGCCCACCAAGGCGACGAUCAGUAGCUGGUCUGAGAGGAUGAUCAGCCACAUUGGGACUGAGACACGGCCCAAACUCCUACGGGAGGCAGCAGUGGGGAAUAUUGGACAAUGGGCGCAAGCCUGAUCCAGCCAUGCCGCGUGAGUGAUGACGGCCUUAGGGUUGUAAAGCUCUUUCGUCCGGGACGAUAAUGACGGUACCGGAAGAAGAAGCCCCGGCUAACUUCGUGCCAGCAGCCGCGGUAA